CAAUAGCGUAUAUUAAAGUUGUUGCAGUUAAAAGCUCGUAGUUGGAUUUCUGGCAGGAGCGACCGGUCGCACGCUAUGCGUGUGAACUUGUGUUGUCUCUGGCCAUCCUUGGGGAGAUCCCGUUUGGCAUUAAGUUGUCGGGCGGGGAUACCCAUCGUUUACUGUGAAAAAUUAGAGUGUUUAAAGCAGGCUUAUGCCGUUGAAUAUAUUAGCAUGGAAUAAUAAGAUAAGACUUUGGCGGUCUAUUUCGUUGGUUUGCACGCCAUUGUAAUGAUUGAUAGGGACAGUUGGGGGGUAUUCAUAUUUAAUUGUCAGAGGUGAAAUUCUUGGAUUUAUGAAAGAUGAACUACUGCGAAAGCAUUUGCCAAGGAUGUUUUCAUUAAUCAAGAACGAAAGUUGGGGGCUCGAAGACGAUUAGAUACCA
rnacentral:rRNA from 1 species